CCUAGUACGAGAGGACCGGAGUGGACGCAUCACUGGUGUUCGGGUUGUCAUGCCAAUGGCACUGCCCGGUAGCUAAAUGCGGAAGAGAUAAGUGCUGAAAGCAUCUAAGCACGAAACUUGCCCCGAGAUGAGUUCUCCCUGAGACUUAGAGUCUCCUGAAGGAACGUUGAAGACGACGACGUUGAUAGGCCGGGUGUGUAAGCGCAGCGAUGCGUUGAGCUAACCGGUACUAAUGAACCGUGAGGCUUAACCUU
rnacentral:rRNA from 1 species